rnacentral:rRNA from 1 species
AAUCUUAUGAUUUUUAUGUAAGACAAUUUCUGCCCAAUGAUUAAUUUUUAAUGGCCGCAGUACCCUGACUGUGCUAAGGUAGCAUAAUAAAUUGGCUUUUAAAUGAAGUCUAGAAUGAAAGAAUAUAUGAGUAAUGAUUAUCUUUUUUAUAUUUACUUGAAAUUAUUUAUUUAGGUGAAAAGACCUAUUAUAAGAAAAGAAAGACGAGAAGACCCUUAGAAUUUUAAAAAUUAAAAUUUUAUGGUUUCUUUUUUUUGUUGGGGUGACAUAUAAACAUUUUUAACUUUUUAUUUACACAAGAACAAAAAUUAGGUUAGAAUAAAUUACCUUAGGGAUAACAGCAUAAUUUUUUUAUAAGAUUAUGACCUCGAUGUUGGACUAGGAACUUUAUAGUUAGUAACUAAAUUAGUAAGUUCGGUUCGAACUUUUUUAUUCCU